rnacentral:rRNA from 1 species
UGGGGAAUAUUGCACAAUGGGCGAAAGCCUGAUGCAGCGACGCCGCGUGCGGGAUGAAGGCCUUCGGGUUGUAAACCGCUUUUAAUUGGGAGCAAGCGAGAGUGAGUGUACCUUUUGAAUAAGCACCGGCUAACUACGUGCCAGCAGCCGCGGUAAUACGUAGGGUGCAAGCGUUAUCCGGAAUUAUUGGGCGUAAAGAGCUCGUAGGCGGUUUGUCACGCCUGGUGUGAAAGUCCAUCGCUUAACGGUGGAUCUGCGCCGGGUACGGGCAGGCUAGAGUGCAGUAGGGGAGAUUGGAAUUCCCGGUGUAACGGUGGAAUGUGUAGAUAUCGGGAAGAACACCAAUGGCGAAGGCAGAUCUCUGGGCUGUUACUGACGCUGAGGAGCGAAAGCAUGGGGAGCGAACAGGAUUAGAUACCCUGGUAGUCGUGCCGUAAACGGUGGAUGCUGGAUGUGGGACC